UUCCCUCUUUCUUUGCCUUUAGACACCAUCAUCUUCUCCUUCUCUCCACUAUCGUCUUGCUGAAAUUACAGAGAAAAUCACUCUAAGCUACCAUUUUCGUCCCUAAUCAUCCCUAAAUUGUGCUACCCAAAAGAUUUGGGCAGCUUUAGUAGAGUAGCAGAUAGCAAAAAUCCCUAAUUUGGAGCAACACUUGCUUGCUGGCCAGUUCAAUCUCUUUUCUUCGGGUGGUGAUAAGGAAUCCGAAGCCUCUAUCCUCAUGUCCUUGCUUGCUGCCCCAUAAAGAAUGCUAACCGCCACCGGCAUUUGAUGCCAUCCGGAUGAUAAGCUGCACAGGUUGAGCCGGAGGGCGCAGCAAGCAAUCGUUCGUGAGCCCCCAUUUCGGUACUCAGGGUGGGUUGGUAGCCCACAACGGAAGGCAUUCUACCCAAUAAGGCCGUGACUCAGACCGAGAAAUGCACUGGAGUACCGAUGUGUAUCAUGCGCCCCACGCCUCCUAUUUGUUGAGGGCGGGCGGUGUGAACUCUGAUUCGAUCCAAGGCAAGAGCACAGAAAAUUGACCAUGAAUUUUGGGGAAAAGCCAGAGUUUGAAGAUUGAAUCUUUAGGAAACGAAGACCUAAGGUUGUCACGGCAUAAUUUGAGGAUAUAUUGCUCUCAUCUGCCACAGUUGAUGUUAACAUGUGUAGAACAGCUGAGCUGAAGUGAUAUAUUGCUCUCAUCUCUGCUUCUUUUGUUGUGCUGCUUUACACUAGACUCAAGAGAUAAUUAGGGGCAUUUAUACCUCUAUUCUUCUGAUUUUUCAUUACUUGUUAGUCUAGCUUCAUAUUGAUCAUGAGGAGGCUCUUGGAUAUGAUGAUAGAGAUGGUUGAAGUCUUAACAUUGGUGCUGCAGUCUAUGCUUUAGUUUAGAAAUCUAGUACUCUAUAUUUUGGGAAGGAUAUGUACUGAUUAUGUGGAAUUUGGGACCCAACAUUUGUGGUUUACUUUUGUUUUGAUGAAUUUACAAAUGUUUAUGGCCAUAUAUAUGAAUUUGUGGCUUUAUUCUA